CCGCCUGACACUAGGUCUCAACCU
rnacentral:miRNA from 1 species